AAAACAUUUCCUUUUGUUUUUUUAAAAGGUAUAUUCUGCCCUAUGAUUAUUUAAAUGGCUGCAGUAUACUGACUGUGCAAAGGUAGCAUAAUAAUUAGUUUCUUAAUUGGAGGCUUGAAUGAAUGAAUUAAUGAAAUAUAUAUUUUAUCUAUUUUAUUACUAAAAUUUAAAAUUUAAGUUAAAAUGCUUAUGUGUUUUCUCGGGACGAUAAGACCCUAUAGAACUUUAUAUAUAUAUUGUUAUUUUAAUUAUAAUUUUAAUAAUUAGGUGACUUUAUUUAUAAUUUGCUGGGGUGGUAUAUAAAUUUGAACUUUAUAUAAAUUGAUCAUUUUAAAUGUUUAUUAAGAUCCUUUAUAUAUGGAUUAUAAGUAAAAGUUACCUUAGGGAUAACAGCGUAAUUUUAAUGGGGAGUCCAUAUCUAUAUUAUUUUUUGCGACCUCGAUGUUGAAUUAAGAAAAAUUUAGGAAGCAGAAUUCUUAAGGUUAAGUCUGUUCGACUUUUAAAUUCUUACAUGAUCUGA
rnacentral:rRNA from 1 species